GUCCCUGUAGUGCAAUGGAUAGCGCGUUGAGCUUCUAACCCAAAUGUCAUGGGUUCGAAUUCUACCUGGGAUG